GAACAGAGUAAGAGGACUGAGAUACAAGCAAGAAGACUAGUCAGGAGCCUACUGUGCUACUCUAGGAACUUCCACAGGCAGAAACUCUUGAGAUACCCAGAAAUGGAUGAAAAAGGUAAAGUUGUGGGUGCAGGAAGCAAAUUCACUGCUAGGACGAAGAGAGAUCUCAGACAUCAUUGGCAAUGUGCAACACUGUAUGGAAUUUUGUGACUCGGGCAUUUGGUAUCUAUGGAGAAGGAGGAGGAAGAAGAAGAUAGCAAUAGGAGACACCUAAGAAAUUGGAGAAAAAUCCUAGCUUGAAGAGUUGAAAUUAGGAUACAUUCAUAUGGGUAAACUACAAAGCAUAUGCUCUUUCUAGUGCUCAGGGUUAAUAAUGGCAAAUAACUUUCUAAUAACUGCCUUCAAAGCAUUUGUGAGGAGACUAUAACCCAUUUACGGUGGGGAAUCC